UAAUAGAAAAAUUUUGCAAUAUUUGGGAUAACUGGAGACACUGUUUUCAUUAGACAGGAAAUAGUUUAUGUGAAUCAGUUCUACCAAUUAAAACAAUAGGUUUCCUGCUAAAAGGAGCAAGCAACUAAUUCAGUAAGUGGUUUAGGAAGCAUCCAGUACUUGUGAUACUCUGAGUGGACUGUCAUCAGGAGACUCAGCACUAGUGCUAGCUGACUGCAGGGAUUCAGGUUACCUUGAUAAAUUACCCCAAGUGCUCGGAUCCCCAUCCCUCAGAACAUCCCAAUGGGCAAACACUCAGACUGUACAGAGCAGGACUGGUUAUUAAGGAAAACAAAGUAAUAAACACAAAUGGAAGAACAGUGAUAGAACUUACACAUAGGGAAAUGGUACACAACUUCCCUUAUGGCAGCUUUAUCAUGUGUUUCACGAUACCUGCAAAUGCACACAAUCCCCAAGUUCUACCACUCCAUCACUGUGCUCAUUGAGUAAACCCAGUAUUUGAAUGAGUAAGUGGCAGUCCAAAUAUUUCCCUGAGGUUGAUCUCCUUUCUCUAAGGGCCCAUUUGCUUUGUUUUACCCAGAGAUGUGACCAUGUAUUUUGGUUUAAGGCUUGAUUCAUUUUCUGAAGUUGGGCAGGGAUUCUACAAACUACUCAACCUCACUGGAUCACUUCCUUUGUCUACUAAAUUCUGAUCCUUCUUUGCCUUCUCACACUUAUCUACAUAAUUUCUUGAUGUUUUUAGACCAUCAUUCUCCACUAGAGAAUUUUGUUUUAACUUUACCCUGCAGCAACAUUCCCAUCAGAGUAGAUUCAAAAGCAUUUAAGAAACUUCAGCAGAAACCCAUCAGUUCAGAAACAAACUCAUCAUGACAAAAUGAGUAAUGUCUUCUUUAGAUCUCUGAAAAGAUCAUGACCACUGCAACCUCAAGUACAAGAAAAUGUAGUUGUUUUUUAUGUCUAACUAGAGAAAUCGUAAGAUUUUCUUGAUAAAAAAUGCCUUUUUUCCUUCUCCAACAGAGGAAGAGUACUCUCAGGUGCUGCAGAGUUCAGGAAUAAAACAGGUUACGCUCUCCAGUUGCCUUAUUAAAUCUUCAAAUUAAUCCACACAGCUUCUCCUUUUUUCCCCAGCAGAACUACAAAGACUGCAGGGAUAUUCCAUCUCCACUGUAAGUCUAUGCUAUAAGAUUCCUGAAGUCAUUGUUAAAUUCUUAUUAUCCUACUUGUCUUUUAAAGUACAUAAGAACACUCAAUUUCAUUUCUUUACAUAAAUAAUACUUGACCUUGUCUUAAUUUAAAUGGGCUUUAUCCCAUGAUUUUAGGUAGUCAUUGCAGUUAUCAAAGGUUGUCCAAAAUUCAUCAGUCAUGAAAGGGUCAGCAUGCCAGGUGGGAGUCCCCAGGGUCUGGAUGUUUGUGCAUGUCAUGCUCUCUAUGACAGGGUUGUGAAGCUUUACUGUAGUAACAUUCUUGAUUAGCUCCACAGUGACAUGACAAUUUUCCUUGGCUUUGUUGCAGUAACAGGUUUCUAGAUUCCGCUUGAUGAGGAAAUAUGUGGUUAGUAACAGAAGAACAUACUAAAUUAUAGACCUUUUGUGGGUGUAGCAAUUUCCUACUGUUAGAGGAAAAACAAAACAGUAUUACAAAUCCACUGAACAGCCAACUUGUUUUCUUUCCUAUUACUUUUCUUACUGCACCAUUUAAUCGUAGUGAUUUAUUAAUUAGUAGUAAGGCCUGCCUUGUUUUCUCAGCAAGUCAAAUUCAGAAAGCCAAGGAAUACAACAUGAAGUUCCAGGAUGCUGAUAUAGAUCUUAUAUUUGUACCUGGAUGGAAAAAAAAAAGUUACAUUUGGAAAGUAUGAGCACCUUUAAAAAACUGAAGUGCCUUUGACAAGAAUGAUUCACCCUUUCUCCUCCAAACUGGACAAAAAUAUUUGCAAUUGACCCAUCAACAAGCAAAACAGAUAAGCAAUAUUUCCUUUUUAUGUUUUAAGACAGUGAAAUAAUAAGUGAACCAUUUUUAUAAAAAGCAGUCAUUUGGAAAAAAGAAAAUAUAUUUAUUUCUUUCAAAUGUCAAUGCCCAUGCUGUUAAAGAUCAUUCUAUUCAGCAACGAAAACAAUUCCUUCUUCCUCAGCUGUUUUUUCCCUUUGCAAUAGAUUCUUUGCAGAUGCACUCCAAAGCAAAUUGUCUCCCUUACUAGCCAAAUUAUCACUGACAAAAUACAAAUUUAACUACUGCAGAUCAUCGAUUAACUGAAUCCUCAGCAAAACCUUGAGCAAAAGGAUGUGCAGCAUUAGGACCCAGCUCUGAAAACCAAUUACUGUUACAGAUGUACUGAAGUUCUGCACAAUGUGCUACCCCUGCAUACCACAAAAUGUUCCUGAAGCACUCUCAAUCUAAGAUUAGUCCCUGUGCAGAGCCACUGACAGCAGAAUGCUUACAAGAUUUAGCUAACAGGCAGCACUGACACAAAAACAAGUGGGUAGAAACUAGCUAAGAGAAAGCUUCUACAUGGCUUUCUAGCUAUCAGCAGGAUGAAGACCUGGAACAGGCUUCUAGUACUAAAGGAGGAAAAGAAUCUAAUACCAGCUUGAUAAAUAUACUGUGUAGUUCCUGUGAUGACAAUGAGUGGGAUGUGAUACUUAGGGGGGGGGGGGUCCUCCUCCAGACUUAUUUUAAGUACAUAAACCACAGCAUAAGUUGUCCCACUUCAAAGCAGAAGUCUUCUAUUGGUUAGGCUGGCACUUUAGGCUGUAUCCUCCACAGAAACCAUUUAUAUUCUUAAUUCUCAAAGUUUAUAUUUUUUUAUUAUUUAUCAAAGCUACUGGUUUUGAGUCAUAUUCCACAGAUUCACUAGGUGACCAUGUGCUCUUGGUACAGAACAGCUUGUAACCAUCUCAUUACUUAUAGAAUGGAGCAGCACAUGCAGAGAUAUAAACAUCUUUUCAGCCUUGAGCACACACUAGACCUUCAUUCAUGAUAUCCCCCACUUUUAAGUGACAAAGCAUCUUAAGUCCUUUCCACUCUGGAGGCAGUAACAAGAGACAGCAGUGUUUGCAUUCAAUAUUGACAGCCUUUAUUCUUCUAUAUUCUCAUGCCUUACAACACUUCCAGUAGUGAUCAUCUUGCUGGAUCUUCUCUCCUCUGGGAUCCUACACACCUGUCACCUGGGUGCAGACCAUCCCCUCAAGUAUUUUCAAUGUCCAAGAGAUAAGAGCAAUUUGUGCCUUCAAGCAUCUCUCCAUCACCAUCCAGUGUGCCCAGUCCUCACUCCAGAGCCGUAGAAAGACAAGGUAGAAAGGAAGAGCAAUGCAAGGACAGCUGGAGUAAAGUGGAGCAGUAGAGUAACCAGAACAUUAGAAACACAUUCGUAGGGAUGGAAGUUUCACAGCAAAGUGGCUUUGAACUGAGCUGCUAAAUAAUUCAAGCGGGCCCAGCAAAAGCUGUAAUUUUGUUUCCCACUGAGCAUUACUGAAACUGUCCCAGGGGUAUAAAACUUGAGGGGAGGGACAAAACGUAAUAUCAAAAAUUCGGCCAGUUAAGUUGGCUCUAGCUGCAAUUCCACUGUAUACAAACUUUUUUGGUGAUGCUCUGGUACUCCUUGAGAAGUUCCUCUUGUUCCUCCCACUGAUGAGACUGUCAACCAUCUCUCAAACCACAAACCUCAACAGCAAUAAGCUGGCACGAGUUUCCACUUGACACAAUGCUUACUGAGCACUAAGAUUUAUGUGAAACAUUUUGGCAUAGCGACAUAUUAACAAGUAUCUUUACUUUGAAGUGACCAAAUAAAAAUGUAUUUUAUGUGGGUGCUUAGCCUAUGUUUGUAUAAAACCCUACUGAAGACCUGGUAUAUGAAAAUUGAAAAUUGUAUUCUCAAGGGCCAGUAUUUAAACUGAUUAAUUCUAACAUUAAAGGUGAAUUAAGUAAUGAAUGAAGUUCACCAACUACUGGAAACUUUUAAACCAUACAGCAAGAUUUUGUUCAGACCAUUCAGUCUAAUCAAAUUAGCUCUAUAAAUGAAGUUUAAGUCAUCCAUACAUUGAAACCAAUGAAAUAAUGCUAACAGAACAAAGGCAGCUUUUUGUGUCAGCCUGGAUAUUUCAGAAGGGAUGAGAGUGGGAAAACAUUGGCUCUGCCAUUUUAUAAUAGCCCAAAUAUUAUAUUCUGUUACCUCCUGGUUCACGUUGGCAUAAUUUGUUCUAGGAAUAGAAACUCAAGUAUUUUAUAAACUUCACUGGGCUGAUUCAUGCAUCCUGUACUACCGAGGGUUCAGUGUCUCUUAACACAUCCACAAAAUCUCUUUGGAAGCCUUAAGUUAUGUGAAGAAUGCUAUAACGCACAGUGUUGUUAUUGCUGUUACUGCUGAAACCAAACUAUCACUACUCCCUGGCUGUCACACACCAGACUUCCCUAGGGAAUGCAAUUUAAGUAAUUCAUAGCACAGAAACAAACAUCUCCCUCUCAUUUUCCUCCUUUUUACAGGACUGUAAUUACCCUCUUUUAUUGUUUCCGACAGACUUAAAACAGAUUGGAAAUACCCAGCAUCUGCUCACUAGCAUCAGCAGCCAUAUGUGAUUUGAAGCCAAGGCCUAAACGACCACAACAGGAAUGAGAAUUUAACUAAGCAAAGAGGUUGGGCUGAAUGCCCCUUCUUCCCUCUACCGUAAGACCAUAAUACCAGGAAGAAUGUGAGCUAACCAGGCUGCUAUUCCAGAUUACACAGCAUGAAGUUGGACAUCAACUUGCACAACAUUCAAACUGAGUUAUGAAAAGGUACCAUAACUAAACAGCCCAAGUCAAUGCUGUGCUUUGUGCUAGAACAAAAUAAGAUUUUUUUUCCAUCACAAAUUCAGUCUAAACAAACACGUGGAGAACAGAAUGAGGUAAUACUUAAAA